CACCUCCGGUUUUUAUCUUCACAGCCCUCACAUCAUUGCCUGGCUGGCCAGCGUGUGGAAAGUGGAUUGGCAGGCUCCGUCUGGUGGGUGGCAGACAACUUGGUGCCAAGGACUGUACCCAGAUGACCCAGCCACCCUACCCCACAUGAAUGCAGACAGCAGAGAUGGGUAUGUGUACAAAAAGCCUCCUUUGCCAAAUAUCUGGAUGAACUGAGUUAACAGCCCGCAUGAAGAAGUGGGGGGCGGUGACUGCAGGUUCCAAGAGGGACAGAAGACACAGGAGCCGACUUCCCAAGAGCAUGAGUCUUGGUCUGACCGUCUGGACACUGGCUCCUUUUGCGGCAUCGCCCUUAGAUGAGCGCACCACGAAGGCCGGAGACGGGGAGCCCAGACCAUCGAAGGUCUCACCGUGUUCAAAACCCUUCCAUUAAUAAGCGCUGAUGGCUGAUAUUCACCGAGAACCUGGCUUGUGCCAGACAUGAUCUGGGUGCUUUCACUGUGCUAUGGAAACGGAUGCGUCGACUACAUCUCUGUUUUGCACACAAGGAAACUGAGGCACAGAGAGAUGGGGAAAACUGAGGCAUGGAGCAGCCAUGUUUUGUGGUCCCACAGCCAGGAAGUGGCAGAGCAGGAUUCAGGCACUAGAGAGAGCUCUGCUCUUGACCCCACACCGCAUCGCUUGUAAAUCUCGACCUUCCUCACUACCUUGUAUGGUGAAGCUGGGCAGUCAAUCUCAUUACCAAGUGGAACUCUUGGCCGGAGACUCCUUACAGGCAUGCAGGGUGUUGUUGCAGAGAAGGAAACUGAGGCACAGAGAGGUUAAGUUGCACACGUGGCCCAGCUUGCAAGCAGCAGAGAUGGAAUUUGAAUCCAGGUCCAUGCAUUUUGGAGCUCCCGAUGUACAAGACUCCUUCUCAGGAACCCAGGGCCCAGCUGAACCCUCCUCCAGGGAAAACCUGAAUGGCAUAAAAAGGUUUCAUUGUGUC